rnacentral:rRNA from 1 species
UACGUAGGGGGCAAGCGUUGUCCGGAUUUAUUGGGCGUAAAGAGCGUGUAGGCGGCCAGAUAGGUCCGUUGUGAAAACUGGAGGCUUAACCUCCAGCGGUCGAUGGAAACCAUCUGGCUAGAGUCCGGAAGAGGAGAGUGGAAUUCCUGGAUGUAGCGGUGUAAAUGACGCAGAGUAAUCAGGGAAGAAACACCAGUGGCGAAGGCGGCUCACUGGCCCGAUACUGACGCUGAGGCACGAAAGCGUGGGGGAGCAAACAGG